rnacentral:tRNA from 8 species
GGGGACGUAGCUCAGCUGGGAGAGCGUUCGGUUCGCAUCCGAGAGGUCGAGGGUUCAAUCCCCUUCGUCUCCACCA